rnacentral:lncRNA from 1 species
UUUGCCAACCAUUAAACAUUGACAAUCAAAUGAUGGAGCUGAAACUAUUAUUUGAGACUACUUUCAUUUCAUUCUGUUUGGCGAAGCCCCUCCAGUUCCAAUUUAAUACACUUAUUUUUACCUGGGAUCUGCUGAUCUGGCUGUCCAAUCAACUUGUCCCUUACCUCUUGCCCUCAAAUAUCACCUAGAUAAUAUGAUGAUAACUUAAUUUUUGUGCAUGGUUUUGAACAGUCCUCUCUCUGCUGCAUUAAAAAGCCUUGUUUUGAUCUUGGGAACAUACAUGCUCCUCCUUUGCACUUAAAC